UCAGGUGGCCGCAGAGAAUAGGCCCAAGCGACUGUUUACCAAAAACAUAGGUUUCUGCUAAGUCGCAAGACGAUGUAUAGGAGCUGACGCCUGCCCGGUGCUGGAAGGUUAAGGGGAUCUGUUAGAGCAAUCGAAGCAGUGAACUUAAGCCCCAGUAAACGGCGGCCGUAACUAUACCGGUCCUAAGGUAGCGAAAUUCCUUGUCGGGUAAGUUCCGACCCGCACGAAAGGCGUAACGAUUUGGGCACUGUCUCAACAACAGACUCGGUGAAAUUGUAAUUCCGGUGAAGAUGCCGGAUACCUGCGACAGGACGGAAAGACCCCAUGGAGCUUUACUGUA
rnacentral:rRNA from 1 species